GUAUUGGUGAGGAUCGGGUAAUCUGCAUCCUGAGGUUUAAAGCUUAAUUUAAGCAGAAAAUUUGUAUACGCAUAUACGUAUGUGUGUUGGUAUAGCUUUUAGUCCUCGGGAUGCGGAUUACCUCUUCCUUACUUACAAUAC
rnacentral:pre_miRNA from 1 species